rnacentral:rRNA from 1 species
UACGGAGGGUGCAAACGUUGCUCGGAAUCAUUGGGCGUAAAGCGCACGUAGGCGGCCUGUUAAGUCGGGUGUGAAAUCCCUGGGCUCAACCCAGGAAGUGCAUUCGAAACUGGCAGGCUUGAAUAUGGAAGAGGGUCGCGGAAUUCCCGGUGUAGAGGUGAAAUUCGUAGAUAUCAGGAGGAACACCAAUUGCGAAGGCAGCUCGCUGGGACGUUACUGACGCUGAGACGCGAAAGCGUGGGGAGCAAACAGG